rnacentral:rRNA from 1 species
UUGAAGAGUUUGAUCAUGGCUCAGAUUGAACGCUGGCGGCAGGCCUAACACAUGCAAGUCGAGCGGUAGCACAGAGAGCUUGCUCUCGGGUGACGAGCGGCGGACGGGUGAGUAAUGUCUGGGAAACUGCCUGAUGGAGGGGGAUAACUACUGGAAACGGUAGCUAAUACCGCAUAACGUCGCAAGACCAAAGUGGGGGACCUUCGGGCCUCAUGCCAUCAGAUGUGCCCAGAUGGGAUUAGCUAGUAGGUGGGGUAACGGCUCACCUAGGCGACGAUCCCUAGCUGGUCUGAGAGGAUGACCAGCCACACUGGAACUGAGACACGGUCCAGACUCCUACGGGAGGCAGCAGUGGGGAAUAUUGCACAAUGGGCGCAAGCCUGAUGCAGCCAUGCCGCGUGUGUGAAGAAGGCCUUCGGGUUGUAAAGCACUUUCAGCGGGGAGGAAGGCGAUAAGGUUAAUAACCUUGUCGAUUGACGUUACCCGCAGAAGAAGCACCGGCUAACUCCGUGCCAGCAGCCGCGGUAAUACGGAGGGUGCAAGCGUUAAUCGGAAUUACUGGGCGUAAAGCGCACGCAGGCGGUCUGUCAAGUCGGAUGUGAAAUCCCCGGGCUUAACCUGGGAACUGCAUUCGAAACUGGCAGGCUAGAGUCUUGUAGAGGGGGGUAGAAUUCCAGGUGUAGCGGUGAAAUGCGUAGAGAUCUGGAGGAAUACCGGUGGCGAAGGCGGCCCCCUGGACAAAGACUGACGCUCAGGUGCGAAAGCGUGGGGAGCAAACAGGAUUAGAUACCCUGGUAGUCCACGCCGUAAACGAUGUCGAUUUGGAGGUUGUGCCCUUGAGGCGUGGCUUCCGGAGCUAACGCGUUAAAUCGACCGCCUGGGGAGUACGGCCGCAAGGUUAAAACUCAAAUGAAUUGACGGGGGCCCGCACAAGCGGUGGAGCAUGUGGUUUAAUUCGAUGCAACGCGAAGAACCUUACCUGGUCUUGACAUCCACAGAACUUUCCAGAGAUGGAUUGGUGCCUUCGGGAACUGUGAGACAGGUGCUGCAUGGCUGUCGUCAGCUCGUGUUGUGAAAUGUUGGGUUAAGUCCCGCAACGAGCGCAACCCUUAUCCUUUGUUGCCAGCGGUUAGGCCGGGAACUCAAAGGAGACUGCCAGUGAUAAACUGGAGGAAGGUGGGGAUGACGUCAAGUCAUCAUGGCCCUUACGACCGUGGCUACACGUGCUACAAUGGCAAAGAGAAGCGACCUCGCGAGAGCAAGCGGACCUCAUAAAGUAUGUCGUAGUCCGGAUUGAGUCUGCAACUCGACUCCAUGAAGUCGGAAUCGCUAGUAAUCGUAGAUCAGAAUGCUACGGUGAAUACGUUCCCGGGCCUUGUACACACCGCCCGUCACACCAUGGGAGUGGGUUGCAAAAGAAGUAGGUAGCUUAACCUUCGGGAGGGCGCUUACCACUUUGUGAUUCAUGACUGGGGUGAAGUCGUAACAAGGUAACCGUAGGGGAACCUGCGGUUGGAUCACCUCCUU